rnacentral:rRNA from 1 species
AGCGAACGCUGGCGGCAGGCCUAACACAUGCAAGUCGAACGAACCUUUCGGGGUUAGUGGCGGACGGGUGAGUAACACGUGGGAACGUGCCUUUAGGUUCGGAAUAACUCAGGGAAACUUGUGCUAAUACCGAAUGUGCCCUUCGGGGGAAAGAUUUAUCGCCUUUAGAGCGGCCCGCGUCUGAUUAGCUAGUUGGUUGAGGUAAUGGCUCACCAAGGCGACGAUCAGUAGCUGGUCUGAGAGGAUGAUCAGCCACAUUGGGACUGAGACACGGCCCAAACUCCUUCGGGAAGCAGCAGUGGGGAAUCUUGCGCAAUGGGCGAAAGCCUGACGCAGCCAUGCCGCGUGAAUGAUGGAGGUCUUAGGAUUGUAAAAUUCUUUCACCGGGGACGAUAAUGACGGUACCCGGAGAAGAAGCCCCGGCUAACUUCGUG